CAGUCGCCGCGGUAAUACAGAGGAUGCGAGCGUUAAUCGGAUUUACUGGGCGUAAAGCGUGCGUAGGCGGCUUCUUAAGUCGGAUGUGAAAUCCCUGAGCUUAACUUAGGAAUUGCAUUCGAUACUGGGAAGCUAGAGUAUGGGAGAGGAUGGUAGAAUUCCAGGUGUAGCGGUGAAAUGCGUAGAGAUCUGGAGGAAUACCGAUGGCGAAGGCAGCCAUCUGGCCUAAUACUGACGCUGAGGUACGAAAGCAUGGGGAGCAAACAGGAUUAGAUACCCGCGUAGUCCCUGUCUCUUAUAC
rnacentral:rRNA from 1 species